CUCAGUUCGGAUUGUAGUCUGCAACUCGACUACAUGAAGCUGGAAUCGCUAGUAAUCGCGAAUCAGAAUGUCGCGGUGAAUACGUUCCCGGGUCUUGUACACACCGCCCGUCACACCAUGGGAGCCGGUAAUACCCGAAGUCAGUAGUCCAACCUCGUGAGGACGCUGCCGAAGGUAGGAUUGGCGACUGGGGUGAAGUCGUAACAAGGUAAC
rnacentral:rRNA from 1 species